ACUCCUACGGGAGGCAGCAGUGGGGAAUAUUGCACAAUGGGCGCAAGCCUGAUGCAGCCAUGCGCGUGUGUGAGAAGGCAGCUUCGGGUUGUAAAGCACUUUCAGUCGUGAGGAAGGUAGUGUAGUUAAUAGCUGCAUUAUUUGACGUUAGCGACAGAAGAAGCACCGGCUAACUCCGUGCCAGCAGCCGCGGUAAUACGGAGGGUGCGAGCGUUAAUCGGAAUUACUGGGCGUAAAGCGCAUGCAGGUGGUUUGUUAAGUCAGAUGUGAAAGCCCGGGGCUCAACCUCGGAAUUGCAUUUGAAACUGGCAGACUAGAGUACUGUAGGAGGGGGGUAGAAUUUCAGGUGUAGCGGUGAAAUGCGUAGAGAUCUGAAGGAAUACCAGUGGCGAAGGCGGCCCCCUGGACAAAGACUGACAGCUCAGGAUGCGAAAGCGUGGGGAGCAAACAGGAUUAGAUACCCUGGUA
rnacentral:rRNA from 1 species